rnacentral:rRNA from 1 species
CGAACGGAAAGGCCUCAGCUUGCUGGGGUACUCGAGUGGCGAACGGGUGAGUAACACGUGGGUGAUCUGCCCUGCACUUUGGGAUAAGCCUGGGAAACUGGGUCUAAUACCGAAUAUGACCACUUCUUGGAUGUUGUGGUGGAAAGCUUUUGCGGUGUGGGAUGAGCCUGCGGCCUAUCAGCUUGUUGGUGGGGUAAUGGCCUACCAAGGCGGCGACGGGUAUCCGGCCUGAGAGGGUGUACGGACACAUUGGGACUGAGAUACGGCCCAGACUCCUACGGGAGGCAGCAGUGGGGAAUAUUGCACAAUGGGCGCAAGCCUGAUGCAGCGACGCCGCGUGGGGGAUGAAGGCCUUCGGGUUGUAAACUCCUUUCGCUAUCGACGAAGCCACUUUGUGGUGACGGUAGGUAAAUAAAAAGCACCGGCUAACUACGUGCCAGCAGCCGCGGUAAUACGUAGGGUGCAAGCGUUGUCCGGAAUUACUGGGCGUAAAGAGCUCGUAGGUGGUUUGUCGCGUCGUCUGUGAAAUCCCGGGGCUUAACUUCGGGCGUGCAGGCGAUACGGGCAUAACUUGAGUGCUGUAGGGGAGACUGGAAUUCCUGGUGUAGCGGUGAAAUGCGCAAAUAUCAGGAGGAACACCGAUGGCGAAGGCAGGUCUCUGGGCAGUAACUGACGCUGAGGAGCGAAAGCAUGGGUAGCGAACA